GACGAACGCUGGCGGCGUGCUUAACACAUGCAAGUCGAACGGAAAGGCCCUGCUUUUGUGGGGUGCUCGAGUGGCGAACGGGUGAGUAACACGUGAGUAACCUGCCCUUGACUUUGGGAUAACUUCAGGAAACUGGGGCUAAUACCGGAUAGGAGCUCCUGCUGCAUGGUGGGGGUUGGAAAGUUUCGGCGGUUGGGGAUGGACUCGCGGCUUAGCAGCUUGUUGGUUGGGUAGUGGCUUACCAAGGCUUUGACGGGUAGCCGGCCUGAGAGGGUGACCGGCCACAUUGGGACUGAGAUACGGCCCAGACUCCUACGGGAGGCAGCAGUGGGGAAUAUUGCACAAUGGGCGGAAGCCUGAUGCAGCAACGCCGCGUGCGGGAUGACGGCCGUCGGGUUGUAAACCGCUUUCGCCUGUGACGAAGCGUGAGUGACGGUAAUGGGUAAAGAAGCACCGGCUAACUACGUG
rnacentral:rRNA from 1 species